rnacentral:sRNA from 1 species
CCGAAGGCGGGGCUAAAAAUCCGUCGAAGGGCAUAUCGAUGAAGUCCCUUGUUUUAGCUUUCGACGCCCAGUCGGGGGCUUUGACUGGGGGUUAAGGCGGAGGGGGCAUGCCGCAACGGCAUGUGGCGUUAUGACCCUCCCGCCGCGGAGACUCGAUUCCCACGUGUGGCAGUGUAGCAACGAUUCGCGUAAAACGCAACAAGCUGUGCAGUGAAAUCGGGGAAACCUGAGAAUGAGUGGCGGGAUGUUGUCUUCUUAACCAUUCUGAAUCAGAGUAGCCUGCCUUGAGUGGAAGAGGUGGAUGGAUUGACAGUUUGUUUGACGAUUAGGGCCCAAUCGAAACAGAUAUUGCAUCCGAAACCUUAACUGCAAAAGAGGCUAAGUGUCGUUUAAACCGUCGAGGAAAACUCCUAGACUGUUCGGUUUUCGAGGCACAAUAGGGAUUAUAGUGCGCACUCAGUGGUAGUUUAGCUCGGCGAUCGGUGACGAUGUCGGUUGCGUUUUAAAGGGAAACCGCCUUUCGCGGCGACGCUUAGGUAAUGCUUCGGGAAAACCUGCUGAACCUAUGUCGCAAUGUUUACUUAUUGUGCCGCCACUUUUUAAUC